rfam:Punica granatum cultivar Dabenzi scaffold130, whole genome shotgun sequence.
AUCCCAGACAAGCUGAGGGAUCUGUGCUUGUCUGAUUCAUGGGAGGCCGAAAGGAAAGCUGGCGAGUUUCGCUGAUAAAUGCCCUUUACCUCUUUCGGGGUGUUUACUAGUUACUCCUUGCCAUACAAAA